AGAAAUAUGAGUUUGUUUUUAAAAGGAAGAGAAAGAGCCAAGAGUGAAGGGAAGUAGAAGAAAUGGAUCGAGUGACAGCAAGAGAAGCAAGCAUUACUUUCUGGAUCAGUACGGUUACCAGAAUCAGCAUCUUCCUUCAGCAUAAGACAAGGUCACUGGCAUGUAUUUAGCAUCACGUUGUUAAACACUUGAAGAUUGGUGCCCGUGGUCCCAAGGGUUCCCUGAGAGCCUUCGGAACCCUCUACAUGGAUGGAGGGAUCAGAGCUCAAGCCCUGGCUGGAGGCUGAUGGACUCUCCCUCUGUGUUGUCAAGUGGCAGGGCUGCAGCUGACCAAGGCGACCACCAUUCUGUUUCUCUGCUGCGUCAGAUUCAAAACUGAUGAACCCAGAAUGGGGCUCAUCAAUUUCAAAA